rnacentral:tRNA from 1 species
AGUUAAAUAGCUUAUGCAAGCACAUACUUUGAAAGUAUGAGAAAGGGGUUCAAAUCCCCUAUUAACUU